rnacentral:lncRNA from 1 species
UUUGUUCUGUUUCACUUUUCUUUUUUUGUUCUCUUCGUCUUCUUCUUCCAGUCUUUAUUCCUUCGUUCUUCUUCGCCUACUUCUUCUUCUUCUUCUUCUUCUUUUUUCUUCUUAUUCUCCUUCUCCUUUUUCUUCUUGUCUUUCUUCUCCUUUUUCUUCUUCUUGUCUUUCUUCUCCUUUUUCUUCUUCUUGUCUUUCACUAGUGCUGCUUGUUGGAGUGAUCAGCCACCAACUUGAAUCAACAACAAAAAAAUGCCACGCGCUGCAUGAUCUGCCAUCGCUUCCACUGUUGCACGAAACCGCCGACGCCACCACUUGAAGCCGUCGCCGUCUCCGCCGCCUCUAUAAUUUGAUUUAGGGUUUGAAAUCUUUAGUUUUAGGAUUUUUUAUUUUUGGAUUCCUUUUUGUUAAAUUUUCUUAGUUUGGGUCUUUUG